UACGUAGGCAGCGAGCGUUGUUCGGAAUUACUGGGCGUAAAGAGUGUGUAGGCGGUGCUCUAAGUUCGGUGUGAAAUCUCCUGGCUCAACUGGGAGGGUGCGCCGGAAACUGGAGUGCUUGAGCGUGGGAGAGGAAAGCGGAAUUCCUGGUGUAGCGGUGGAAAUGCGUAGAUAUCAGGAGGAACACCGGUGGCGAAGGCGGUUCUCUGGGCAUUACCUGACGCUGAGGAGCGAAAGUGUGGGGAGCGAACAGG
rnacentral:rRNA from 1 species